UUAAAACCCCAGCCUGUACUUGGAGCACGGGCUUUUGUGCAUGUAGACGAAGGAGAGCGAAAGCUGCAAAUAUGGUGAGAAAGGAAGGGAAACAAUCUGCUGUGGACUGACAAGCACAAACAGCCAGUCAGACUUUUAACCCGAGAAACAGAUGGCUCAAAUGGAAACGAUGAUGUGUCGCAAUGCAUCUGAUGGACGUUUAAUUCGUGGAGCAAUCUGUGCGUGGUUCCGAGCACCUGGUAGUGACAUUUAACAUUUUUCCCCCCCCAGAAGAGCAGACCCCGAAGCUGCCGGAAUAACGGCUGUGCUCGUAUAACACAGGAGGCCCGUUAAAAUCCGGUUCCAGUGUCACAGAGGCCAACGCAGGAUGUCGCCUCCGGCAGAGGCCGGCCUGUAGUUGCAGAUCCUGCCUCGGCUUGCACACAGGAAUGUACUAUUGAGAAAGGAGUGCACCACAAACCCUCGCAGCCAUUCCAGCCCCCGUAAUCAGAUCCAGCCUGUCAUCCCCCAUUCCGUCUUUCUUUCUCUCUCUCUCUCUCCUUUUCUCUCAUCGGCCCCAGCUUUCGACGCGCACACACGCUGAACAGAAACAGCCGCAUAGCGCACAACAGGCCGUCAGAUGCCCGCACAGAAUCGCAGACACCAAUUUGUAGACAUAACCUCGUUCAUCCGUACUAAGCCUGGAAACCUUGUUUCACCUUCAUCAGAAGUCAGCCUGGAACAGUCUCAGACCCAAGCUGGAACCUUCGGUAACCCAGCUAGCCCUCCUGCCUGCACUCACCUGCCUGUCCACCCUCCAACCAGUCACAACUCUGAGAAGGGACCAGGGCCUGCACCGACAACCCGAAUGUCUGCACAGCACCUAUCUCCUGGACCAAACCCAAGCCACCACCUCAAACCCACAAGACCUUCGACCCGCUGAAAGACCCAUCCGAUUCCUACCUUACAAUAAACAUUUUUUAAGCCUA